ensembl:lncRNA
GUUCUGACAUGAUUUAUCUUUGUCUCAAUCUUUUACAUCACAAAAACCUGGCAUUUUAACAGGGUGUGUAGACUUUUUAUAUCCGAUGUAGAUCCUUGCAUAUUGUCAUGAACGCACACAGGCAUGUGAAUGCCAAACCAAAUAAUGUUUAAUGCUCUCGGCGUCCAUCUUCAGAGGCCUAGGUGAUUGGUCACCUGAUGAUUAACUGAAACUUCACCUGGCUUGGAGGUCACUUUGGUUCAGAAAAUGUCAUUAUCUGGCUUAUAAAUUCUGAAAAUAUACUUCCUUGAGUUGGCGAAGUCUUACAAAUGCAGUUAUGGGUAACUGAGAUUAGGAGCUCAUCAACCAACCAGUAAUCCCUGUGACAUCUCAGUUCCCUAAUUUCACCUCAUCUUACCCCUUUCCUCUCAGCCUAUUCCCAUCCUGAUCACAUUCACCAUGGUAAAUAUUGACUCUCUGUCCCCCUCUGUAUUCCUCCAUGUCUUAGAUGUCCCAUGUCCUCUCUCUCCCUCUCUCUCUCCCUCUCUCUCUUUCUACCUGUUGUCUUAUUCUCCUUCUCUCUCAACUCCUCUCCAAAAUAUCUGGACGUGAUAUGAGCAUGAGAUGAGCUCAACUAAAUAAAAUCCUGCAUGAUUCCCCCGGCCUCCAUUCAGCAUCUGCCAAAACAACGCUUGUCAAACAUGGCAUGAGAUUAGUGACUCGCUCUGUCUUGGCUGUAGUUCCAACUCUCUUUUCUUCCAUCUCUCUCAGCACUUUUUUCCCAUUGGAUUCGUCUCCUGGUUAGCCGUGAUGGCGGUUUGCCUGCAGGAGAGGAAAGAAGAGGGAGAGGGAAGAUGGAGGAUGGGGUGGACACAGAAAAGGCGUCACUUCUGUCAGAGGUGGAGAAGUGUGCAGGAAGCAUUUGCAUGUGUACGAAGACAAUACAUGAUUUAGUCCUGUGUCUAUGUAACGAGGACACGCAUGGAGGACGCGCGCCACCCCUCCCGACGUGGUGUUCGGUGCGCGUCAUCGCCGGCCUUCUAGCCACGCCGCUCCUCCUCCCACGGCACUGUCCUGUCUUGUUAUUGCACACACCUGGUGUUCAUUCCCUCAUUAGGUUGCCUAUAUUAGUUCCCUUGUUUCUGGGCGUCUUUGUGUGGUAUUGUUCUAUGUUCAGUGUUCUGUAUUUGCCUUGUGCUGUGGGUUUUGCGCUUGUGCGUUAUUUGAGUUUUGCGUGCCUUGUUUUCUGAAGAACACAAUACAAUUACUUUCCCUGCAUCCCUGCAUUCGACUCCUUUUCUACACAC